UUCUCAGACUUCCAGCGUCUGGCAGGCUUCUGGGCACUGAUUUUCCUCAGACGGGCAGGUUUGUGGGAAACAGGAGGCUUGGGCUUGGAUCCACUCUCCUCUCCUCUCUUCUCCGGGCAGCCCAGCUGAGGAGGGAAGAAGUUCUGGCUGCUGGGCAGAGCUGGGUGUCUCGUUCCUGGGGCAGCCUGAAGAGCGGACGGCCGGGACACACGGAGAGCGGAAGAUGGGCAGUGGUGACACCACAUAUAAGCAUGAAAAGAAGUUUUAAAGCUGCAAACCCCAGAGGCCAGCAAGGCAGGCAGCAUCAGCCCUCAGUGCUGUGACAGAGAAAAAUAAACCCACCUGGUAAUUGCAGAUGGUUGACAAAAAACUCUAAUUUUGUGGGAACGGGGCUACAUCUAACCCUUGCCAGAAUUAUCACCGGAGGCGCCCCUGGCUGACGGGGACAGUCUUCCCAGAGCUGACAGAUAAUGCAGGGGAACAAGAAGUGCACGGACGGGCUCAGCGACUCCUCGAGCAUCGGCAGCGUGCUGGACGAUGCAGACAGGGAGGUGAGCAGCCUCACAGACCGGGCGUUCCGGAGCUUGUGCAUCUCGGAGGACACAUCCUUCCAUGACUCCGAUCUGGCCCUGUCCCCGGAUACCACUCGCCAGGUGUUUGGGACUUUCCACCAGGGAACGGUGAGCCACACCCACAGGAAAAGUGGCAUUUGGAGCCAGCUACCGGCCCAAGGCACAGAGCAUGCAGGCUGGGCAGCCACCUUCCAACAGCUACCCAAGUACGUGCAGGGGGAGGACAAGUACCCCAAAAGCAGCCCCCCUCCGACGCCAGCCCAGAGGAGACUGGAGGUGCCAGUUGCUGGCCUGAGAAGCAGCAACAAGCCUAUCUCCAAAGUAUCCUCACUAAUCCAGUCCUUCAACAGGACGGAGAGCCAUCGUUGCGAGAUCAGGCCUGCAACCAGCAAGCCCCCAGCUCUGAAAACCACUCCCAAAUUUGCUCCUCUUCCAGACAACAGUGUCAACUUCUGCUUCGAUUCCGCCUUUCUGACAGUCAGGAGGGUGCCCGCUGAAGUUUCCAGUGCCCAUCAGAGCAGCCACCAGCCCGGCAGGAAGCACGGAGAACAGGAGUCCCCCCAAAAUCCUGAAAUGGCCUGUCAUGGCUCCAGCAGCUUCCUCCCAGCGCCUGACAACGCGGCCAUCUCAUUAGAGUCAAAGUUCUCCUCCCCAGCCCGCAAGCCACCCCCGGGUGAGGCUGGCAGAAGCAAGGAGUGGGCUCAUAAAGGGACCUUUCUACACAGUGAAAACAGUGCUUUUGAGUCGUGGCACGCCCACCAACCAAAGUUGCUUGAGAGAAAGAACGCUGCUGAAACUGUCCCAGAAAGCAAAGCUCCCAGAUGUUACAAGGACAUGCCCCUGCUACGAGAACCCCACCCUCCUGAGCACGAAGUCUCGCCCUGCCAAGGCCAGGCCAGCUUCAGUGAGGCUGAGAGCAGACUGGCCGCCGGGGCUCUGCUGGCACCUGGGCCCUGGGGGUGCAGGGAUCCAGGAGCCCCGGUGUCUGCCAUGGAGGGAGAAGCUCCCAGCUCGCAGCCUGACCCUCAAGUGAAGCCUACCCAGGCCCCGUGGAGGAAACCAAAGACUGGCAAAAGAGGGAAAGCAAGUCUACAAGAGGCUGCAGAAGAAAAGAGACAGAGCAACAGGAGAGGCCCACCUCUGUACACAAAGCACGACCCCCAGGGGCAAUUUCCAGAAAAUGAUGCUCUUGACAUGCCUGCGGACCCAGGUGAGCAUUACAACCCCCCUUUCAACAUCAGCAAGCUCCUGACGCCCAUCAUACCCACCAAGCUCGCCCCAGAUCCGUCAGACAGUCCGCCCGCGGAGACCCCCUCGCCCCCAGGACAGCUAAACGGGUACCAGGAGAAGGAGCCCAGUGAAUGCCAGUCUCGAGACAGUUACAAGUCCAAAGCCCCUAGCCUGCUGUUCAACCUCAAGGACGUGCGGAAGCGUGUGAAGAGCACGUACAGCCCCUCACCUCUCCUGCGAGACCUGGAUGAGCAAAGCAGAGGGAAGGUUGGCGGGAAGCAAGAGCCCGCGAGCAAUGGCAUCAUGCUCGCCAAUGGGCUCGAGGACAGUCCCCCAGACGAGCUCUCUAAGGAGAGACCUGAGGAUGCCCUUACUGCAUCACAGCUCGGUGCCCAGGAAGACCCUGCAGCCGGCCUCAGUGGGGCCCCAGCAGACAGCUGUCUAACCCCUAGCACACCUCCAGUCGUCGCCAACACCCCCUUCUGUGUCAACGGGGAGGCUGCCGAGAGCAGUCACGAGCACGCCUACACCCACGGAGGGUCGGAGCUGGGGCCCGGCAGGCCCAGAUGGCGUCCAGACUCCAGGGAAGGCGGCCCCAGGAAGCACCUGUCCCUGAAGCUUUGCAGCAGGGAGCCUGAGGCUGACGAGGCCGCAGAGAAAACAAGGACCCAGCUAGAGAACGGGCCCUCGAGAUCCGACUCGCAGGAGACAGAACCCAAGAGAGAGGCAGGACUGCAGAACCCACACUUGACCCAGAAAUUCUCCCCAGGGCCCCUGUCCCCUGAGGAGGAAGAUGUGUUUUACAGCGACAGCCAGUCCGAUUUUAUGCCGAGCAUCCAAGGCAAGGCCAAAUUCAGCACCAGCUCGUCAGAUCAAUCCUUUGCCUCGUUUGAUGAUCAGCAGAAGACGUGGUUUACUGAGAGCCAGCAGGAAGACAGGAGGAACGGCAUGAGUGCAGGUGACCGUCAGAGGGACGAGAAGGAGAAGGUGGGCGGGGAUGCAGAGGAGCCUCAGUGCCGGGCCGCCGGCGCUGGGGGCGCGCGCAGGGAGGUGCGGGGCGAGGUGCUGGGAAGAGAAGGGGAAGAUGUGUGUGAAGGAAGGUCCGGGAAGGCGUCCGCGGAAGAAGCUAAUCCCAGAGGCUCUUGGGUUGGGGCACGUAGGGGCACCUCCCUUUCACACGCCAAAGACCCUGUGCCCUCCUCGUCUUCUGCUACAAACAAGCACAUACUGUUUACGAUUAAAGACAACACGCUCAGAGCCACCCCGGUAAUAAAACCCAUCAUGCUGCCUCUCCUGAGGACCAUGUCCUCCGAAGACUCUCUGGGCAGUGCCCAUAGAGAGGAGGACUCGCCAAGGCCAGGGUGGGGGGAGGAUGCUGGUUUCUGUGCCCCUAAAAGCCAGGAGAUGCCUGGCACGCUGGCACCUGCUAACAUGCAGGGCACACACAUGAAGCCCUUGGCCCGUGGCGUCACAGAGGAACCCGGGCAGGUGUCCAGCACAGCCAGAAUGGAGACCUCCCAGCUAGUCCCAAAGGGGAAUCUCCCACCUCUGCCUCUGGGGGAGGGGGGGGCCGGGGUGAAGCCACCCCCAGAUGCAGCGCAUAAAGUCUUGGCACACGAUGUCAAGAGCAGUCCCACAGACUCAGGGAAGCCGGCCGCCCCCCGGGACAUCCCAACAAUCGCUUUACCUGAGGGUGACUUAGAAGACCGGCCACUGCCAUGGCAGCUGGGAACUUGCUGGGAAGAACGGACACAAGGUGCCAAUAGUCACUUUUUGCCUAUGCCCAGGGCAGGGCCACCCGGGAGAAGACCCGUGCAUGCUGAGAUGGCGACUUCCCCCAACCCCAGCUCCCUGGGGGAGAGCAGCGUGUGCUCCCCUGCCGCCAGUGAGCUGGAGCUACUGCCAGAGGAGCCCCCUCAAGCCAGCCCCUGGGCCAGCCCCGGUCCUGCCAGGCUCACCAGAAGGGAGGACCUGACCCACGCCCUCGUGUGGGAGGCUAGCUCAGACCCUCAACUCGAGCCCUCGGCAGAAGACCUCCGGACGCUCUCUCCGCGAGACUCGCUGCCGGAUAUGGCCACCGGCUCUGCAGGCCCCCCCGGGAGGCCGGCGCUCCCUGCUCAGCUGGAGAGGGCGGCCAGCAAGCCGCCCGCAGUCCCGCCCAAGACAGAGAAGGCCCUGCGGCGGGCAAAGAAGCUGGCAAGCAAGAGGAGAAAGACCGACCAGUUGCCAGAGAAGCUCGGCGAGCCCCGGGAGGGAAAGCCCUGCCCAGAGGACUUGGAGUGGACAGAGCGAAGGCCACCGUCCCCUGGAGAGAGGCCGCCACACAGCUUCCCCGCGGUGCGCUCCGUGCCCCCUCCCCUGCAUCGCCACUCCGUGUCCGGCUUCUCGGAGCCCACCGGGGGACAGCCUGGGGGGCCCCAGUCCCUCACGCCCUUGUCCCCUUACCCCGCCACCCAGAAGGUGCUCCAGGACCCCCAGUCCGGAGAGUACUUUCUCUUCGACUUGCCACUCCAGGUGAAAAUCAAGACCUUCUACGACCCAGAGACAGGCAAGUACGUCAAGGUCUCCAUCCCCUCGUCCGAGGGGGCCUCCCCUGAGCCGCCCCUGCCGGAAGCCCCGGCCGCCCCCUACCUGCUGUACCCCGGCCUCCGGCCCGUGCCCGUGACAGCCCUGACGCCCCUGCGCUGCUCCUCUCAGCUCUCCGCCCCCACCUUCCUCAGGCAGGGCCCUCGCGCCCCGGGGGCCGCCCGAGCCCGGCCCCAGAGUGCCCACGAGACUGGACUGCAGCUGGCCCUGGGGCCUCAGGGAGACCCCGCCCAGCACUCUGCAGGCCAGCGCCCCCAGGGGCCUCCCCGGGGCCCAGAAGAGGAAGGUGCAGAAGCUCCAGGCCUGGGCAUCAUCUCCACAGACGACCUGGAAGACUUUGCCACAGAAGGCAUUUCUUGAGAAUUGCAGGAGACGACCCCCAGCCCCAGAUAAACCCAGAGGAGCUUACUUCCCCUGCCCCAGAACAAGUAACACACACACGCACACACACACACACACACACACACACACACACACCACCACCGCCUAGCCAUUGGAGAUCCCUAGAGUCCAAAAGGAAGUGGGGGUGCUGAGACAGCCCCCUCUGGAGGGCCCCAGGCUCCCCUCUGAUGAAGGGCGCUGCUUGUGUGACAGCCCCUCCGUGGCCCUCCCGGAUCCUUUUCGCUCCCCUCUCCCACCCUCCCUCCCUGCCCUGGCCGUCCCUGGUCCUGAGGGUCCCUCUGCCCCUGUGCCCACCCAGACCCCUGAGCCCCCCAGACACAGUAGCUGGUUCCCAGGUCCCUCGGGGAGAAUUGGAGGACCCCCAAGGCAAUCUCGCAGGAAUGUUUGUUUGCAUCAAAGCGGUUUUCUUCACAGGGGGAGACUCACCUCUGAAGGCUGUUUUCUGGUAAAGAAAAGGCCACCUUUCACAAAGUGAAACAGGAGUUAAAAUCUAACAGAGAAGAAAGACCAUCGCAAGCCCACGUGCGAGGUGAUUCACCAGCUUGCUCUGAGGAGCGCCGAGGCUGCCUGCAAGGAAAGGGCUCCCUUCAGGAGAGCGCAGGCAAGCCAAGCCAAGAAACACAGUCAACUGAGGAAGAAACCAGAAUCUCCCAGCUUCAAUCUGUCUAUUAAAGAUGGCCCUGAUUAAAUACUAAUAGGCUUGA